AAUAGAGAGAGAGAAUAGAGAGAGAGAGAAUAGAGUGAGGGAUAAAAAAAUAGGAAGAGAAGUGGAGGGAAAAGAGGAGGAGUUAAUUAUGAAUAUUGGAUUUGUAAAAAGAUCAAUAUCGUUAUAGAUUAGAGCCUCAUCCAAUCCUCUCUCUGUCCACACAGGAGGGAAAUGAACCAGCGGCAUUAUUAACAUGUGUGUCACAAUGAUUUUAGGCUCCUGACAACUUUGCUCUGUGUUGAAUAAUGUAUUUGUUUUCAUUCUGUUGUCCAUGUGAACAUCUGUGUUUGGUUGUACUGUCCUUGUAGGUAACAGAAGUCCUCACAUCACAAGGAUAGUAAACAAUUCUGUGUGUGUGUUUGGUUGUACUGUCCUUGUAGGUAACAGAAGUCCUCACAUCACAAGGAUAGUAAACAAGGACAAUUCUGACAACUGGAUUCAUUUUGCCAGUCCCCACAACGGGAAAAUAUAUUUCAGGCUUAGGAGUUAGGAGUUAGGGGUUAGGUUUACAACUAGGGUUAUGGGUUAGGAGUUAGGAGUUAGGUUUAGGGUUACAACUAGGGUUAUGGGUUAGGAGUUAGGAGUUAGGAGUUAGGUUUAGGGUUACAACUAGGGUUAUGGGUUAGGAGUUAGGAGUUAGGAGUUAGGUUUAGGGUUACAACUAGGGAGUUAGGGUCAGGAGUUAGGAGUUAGGAGUUACAACUAGGGUUAUGGGUUAGGAGUUAGGAGUUA
ensembl:lncRNA